GGGCCCGUAGCUCAGUGGUUUAGAGCGCUCGCCUCACACGCGAGAGGUCACAGGUUCGAAUCCCGUCGGGCCCA
rnacentral:tRNA from 2 species